GAUCUGGCAGGGGUUAAAUACAUCCAUAUAGCCUCAAGGGCUAUAUGUGAUGUAUUUUAGCCAUAAAAAAGGUAUUAUACAUUGCUGCCCAGGGCGCCCCCCCCAGCGCCCUGCACCCUCAGUGACAGUUGGUGACUGUUGGUGAAGUGUGCUGACAACAAUGGCGCACAGCUGCAGUGCUGUGCGCUACCUUAUGAAGACUGAAAGUCUUCUGCCGCCUGUUUCUGGACCUCUUCAACUUCGGCAUCUGUAAGGGGGGUCGGCGGCACGGCUCCGGGACGAACCCCAGGGUGAGACCUGUGUUCCGACUCCCUCUGGAGCUAAUGGUGUCCAGUAGCCUAAGAAGCAAAUCCAUCCUGCACGCAGGGUUCCAGCAAGUGACAGAAUUGGGAGGCUCUGGAGGAUUACGAAUGACAGAUGCACGAUUUCCGAUUUGCAGUCAGAGCUCAGAUCGUACUGUAACAGAGCUGCACCACUCGCAAAUUUGAGGAAACAGCUGAUCGGAACGCGUGUGAUGACAGAUCUCUCGUGGCAAACUUUAGUCUACCAAGAUUCCAGAGUAAUUAUGAUUUGCACAGACUUGCUAACACUUUGUCCCCGCUUCAUGUUUUAAUGUGAUGAGAGUUGCCGAGAGCCUUCAUUAUUCUACAGGUUCAUUAAAAAUGUGUUUUUCAA